CGGGUGAGUAAUGUCUGGGAAACUGCCUGAUGGAGGGGGAUAGCUACUGGAAACGGUAGCUAAUACCGCAUAACGUCGCAAGACCAAAGAGGGGGACCUUCGGGCCUCUUGCCAUCGGAUGUGCCCAGAUGGGAUUAGCUAGUAGGUGGGGUAACGGCUCACCUAGGCGACGAUCCCUAGCUGGUCUGAGAGGAUGACCAGCCACACUGGAACUGAGACACGGUCCAG
rnacentral:rRNA from 1 species